AAUGACUUUAGAUUUGUUAAUUUUAAGUACGAGGUGAAGAGAUGCAUGGGAAUACCCUGUUCUCACCUCAGUUUGUUCCAUCUGCAUAAGCUAUUUUAUCUUUCAGUACCCCUUUUGAUUUUUUCAUUUUGGUCCUUGAAUAAAUUAAGGAUCAUUUAAAAUAAAUAAAUGUCGACUUCGAGAUACUAUUAAAUAUAUUCUUUGCAAUUCGUCCGAUGGGAAAUUGGUACAAAUCAGUCUCCAAAGAACUCAGAUCAGGAUUCUAGCCAGAUUUGAAGAGAAACAGACUUCAGAUAGAUAUGGUUUUCAGGUAAGAAAAGGUAGGAAUUCUCGUCAGCCCCCAAACAAUGAUUUUACUUGCUUGGUGACACAGUUGACCUUUCUCUGCAGGGCCAUGGUCUUCUAAGUACCUCUGCUCUAAUUAUAUCUUGCUAUACCCACGAAUUUGAUUGUUGUUCUAUUUCCAUGGAUCAUUAAUUUCCCAUUCCAGCAGAGAUUCCCUGUAGUCAAGUUCCUGAGGGGUAGCUGCUUGUUAUUUUCUAUUUCAAUCAUGUGCAUUUGAUAUUUACUAUUAAAUUUUUGAAUAAUGACACCUUCUCCAAGCGGCUGUAAGUUUGGCUGUGAUGAACCUCUCCGGAGAAGCCUGUGAGCUUUCACAUCUGCUGGAAAACUCUGGGGAGAAUCUUUCUAAUGAGGAAUUCCUGGAACAAGAAAUUACAGAUGAUCUCUUUUUCAGAAGACAUGGCAAGCAAGUGAAUGCCUUUUUCUCCCAUCAGAGAAGAAGUCAACCUCUCUGUUCAACUUUUUGGUGGAGGCUACGAUCCAGUUUCUAGCUGGCUGAAUGGUGAUGGAACGACAUGAACUCUGGACCUGAGGAAUACGUGCGGAAGGAAGGAUGAUGGGUUUGUGUGCUUGUAAACCAACCCGUCGGAUGCAUGCACCAGGCAUUUGGAAAUAGAAUGCAACAGAAGAGCCAAGCCCUGGAGUUAAGGUGUGAGUGAUCAGCCUAUAUGAAACCUUAAGGUACUUCUGGGAGAGGUCGUGGGGUUAGAACAAAGUGGGAUCAAAAAAGAGAGCCCUGUGAAACCCCGGCAUUGAAGAGCAGAGGACAAGGAUCCAACUAAGACACAGCAUGUAUAAUAAAUAAAAGAGGAGAGAACUGUCA
rnacentral:lncRNA from 1 species